AGAUCGGAGAGAUUCAGUUACGUCGUUUUAGUCUUGAGCUUUUGUCGCCAACCCAAAAACUUUGGUUUGUGGACUGGCGAUGAAAGCUGAAGACUGAAAAGACGGGCUUCAGCUUUAGAUCU